rnacentral:rRNA from 1 species
UACGUAGGGUGCAAGCGUUAAUCGGAAUUACUGGGCGUAAAGCGUGCGCAGGCGGCUUCUCAAGUCAGGGGUGAAAGCCCAGAGCUCAACUCUGGAAUUGCCUUUGAGACUGAGUGGCUUGAGUACGAGAGAGGUGAGUGGAAUUCCCAGUGUAGAGGUGAAAUUCGUAGAUAUUGGGAAGAACACCGGUGGCGAAGGCGGCUCACUGGCUCGUAACUGACGCUCAUGCACGACAGCGUGGGGAUCAAACAGG